CAGAGUCAGUACUGGGGAGAAACUCGUAAGGAAACACGGAAGGUGGUUCCAUUGUGCUGAAUGCUACCGCAGAAUUCUGCCGUUCGUUAGGUGACAUCCCCAUUUAUGGUCUGGCUGGCAACUGAUGAGGACGCUCAGGAACUGCUUGACUCUGAGAGGGAAAUGAUUGAAGGGAAGAAACGUCAGAAAGAAGAAGGCAAACGUGGAGCUUGGAAUGAAGUUGAGACUGAGAUGAUGAAAAGUUUGGGCGUCGAGAGCGCUACAGUGGUCUGACCUCAGACUUCAAAGAAAAGGAGGGCUACAAACCAAAUGUUAAACUCUGCUACACAGAUGAUGAUGGACAUGUACUUAAUGCAAAGGAGGCUUUCAGAUACCUGUCUCAAGAAUUUCAUGGAAAGGGACCUGACAAAAAUAAAAUGAAGAAAACUGAACAGGAAGGAAGCAAUCAUCUCAAAAACAAAACUGCAAAUUCUUCAUGGAAUGUGCUGGCACCAACUCUGAACUUUGGCGUGGACUUAUGUUUUUAUUGUUUCUUACUGUCUGGAAUAUCAUCUCUCUUUUUAAAUAAGACACAGCUUGCAGCUGCUGACAUUGCCUAUGUGUACUGGAAGGAAGGCCACAGAGUUCAUGUCACACUCAAAUGAGUACAGUGGUUCUCCUGCUUCCUUAGGUUACCUGUUGGCACCCGUAAGCUGAAAAGUACAAUUUCUAGUGAUUAGUUGCUUGCUUAUAGGACUUGAGCCAGAUGAACAGCCUCUAAGCUAAAUCAGACAUUAAUUAGUAAUUAUAUUUGGCCUUUCUUGAUUGCAAUAGCAAAAUUGUAUAACCCCCAUCCAUGUUGCAUUCAAGCCUGCAAUUUGGUCACUAAACCGUGUGACAUGUAUCCUUCCAAGGGAAGAAAGAAACCCUUGUUCAUUGAUAGGCCAGUAUGAAAAACUGUAAAAUUAUACAAGCAACAGAAUCAGAAGAUGUACAGUCUACUGCAAAUCAUUGUAAAGCACCACUGAUAUAUAUCACUGAAACAUUUGUAAUGGGUUAUAAAAGUAACUUGGUUCAUCCUGGUCCAUCACACUAGUAAUUAAUUGUAUGUAAAAUUUUUAACCACCGUCUGUUGUGAUUGAUAAAAGUUUUUAAUUAAUCAUCCUUUACAUGUUCCAAUCAAAACGCCCAUCUUCAGAAGGAUAUUAUCAACACAUGGAAACUACUACAUGUUACAUGUCAUAGAUAUAAAUACAAUAUAUUUUUAACUGAUAUUGAGAUGUGCAUUGAUUUGUUAAAGCAUCUAAAAAUUAUUACAAUUAGUCUGUUUACAAAAUAAUGUUCCAUAUUUUGAAUCUAGAACCAAUUUGGUUUGUGUUGUUACACUUCUGUAAUAAUUUGAGAUGUUUUAACAAAUCAGUGUACACCUUAGCAUUAGUUAAAAGACAUAACAUAUAUAUGUAUGACAUGGUAACAAUAGUUUCCUUGUGUGUUCAUAAUAUCCUUCUGAAGAUGGUCGUUUUGACUGGAACAUGUAAAGGAUGAAAAAUUAAAAACAGCUUUUAUCAAUCCCACUGGACGGUGGUUACAAAUCUUAUAUGUGGUUAUAAAAGUCCUGUGUUUAAUCCACUUGCAGAUGAUCAAGAGUCUUCUAUAGGUAUACGAAAACUUCCAAGACACAUAGACUCAGCCAAUAAUGUCAGGUCAUGAAACUGUGUACUGAUCUUAAGGCAUCUUCUUGGGGGUGGUGAUAAUGAUUUGAACCCAAAAUGAAUAUAUAAGUCAGUGCUGAACAUUAUCUGAAGUCUGAAUUGUAAUCCUGAUGUGUUACUAGUCUUCACUUAAGUAGGUACACAGACAGACUCCAGGUGUUCCCAAACUUAUAUUUUCCUUGAUAUCAGUAAUGUAUAACUGGAAGUUGACAUCCUCAGUCACAUAUAUUCCAGCCACCUGAUUAUUUAAGACAGUUUCAAUAUGUUUUAGUCUUUGUUAAUAGAAAUUAACUUGAAGUCACACUAUUACAAAAGUUGUUACAUUUGUGUAUUUCUUCAUGAAAUAGGGAUUAUAAUUUAAAACAUGUACACCUACUCCAUUAGGUGCAUGCAGAUUAUGUUGUUCAGUUAGUGUGGUUAUGUGCAGGGUUGGAAUUUUGUAUGGAGUUGAUUUCCGUUUUGUAACAAUUCUCACCUAGAGCAGUCUGCGUAUGGUUAUUGAUGGUCAUUACUAUCUGUCCUUACCAUAGAUGAUCAAUUCUUCAGUAAAUGGUUUUCAAACAAAAGGUAUGACACACCUAUCAAAAGAAACAAAAGAUUUUGUUUCUUUAUUAGUCAGUAUCCUGUUGAGAAAGGUACAAUAAAAUAGUUUCACUUGGUGUAGUAUUUAAAUGUAUAUCAGCUGUAGGAAAAAUGAUAUAAAAAUGUUUUAAUUUCAUAAUAUGUUUGUGUGCACUAAAAGUUUAUCUGUAAAGUUGAGGUAACUGCGUGCAGUUGGGAGACGUGCCAUUUCUUAUUAAUUUAUACAGAUUUCCUAACAGACUCGCUACUGUGAUGAAGAUUUUUCAAACAAUUCUCUGAGAAAUAAUUACAUUAUGUAAAAUAAUUCAUCUGAACUGAUCACAGUUCAGUUUAAUCAAUACAACACAAUUACUAUAUUGUUGUAAUGUGCCAAUAUUUCUUCUUCAUAAAUGGAAGUACAGUCAUCUACAAACACCAGUGUUAUGUAUGAGAUAUGAGAUAUUCAGGAUAGUGAUCAUGAGGAAUUUGGAAGUGAGGCUGUGUAGGUGGGUAGGAGUCUGCCAACAUUUUGGAGGAACCUUCAUAAGAGUAGACCUACAUACAUUCUAUCACAUCCUGACUUUUGAGCAGUAUAUUUGAGAUAAGUCUUCUGAAAUGUAAUCCUCCAUAAUUUGUUUUAACCAACACUGCAGACAAAUAUACUUCCUCCAUCUUCAGGAUGGAAAAUUGAAGGUGAAGGCAAUGUGUUCCUCUGAAAUGUCGUUAAACUUCUACCAACCUACACAAUAUCAUAUCCCAUAUCAUCAGCCAAAUCAAACUGUUGUUUGUGGAUGACCUGAUUUCAUAUUGUGACUGCAAACACAACAUGAUGCGUCAAUGAGUAUUAUUCAUGAAUGGGAACAGGUCAAACAUCUGUACAUAUGUAAUCUAAAUGUCUAAUAUCUGGAGUCAUCCUGAAGCUGGAGGCACACAUUCCACCAAAACGUUAGUAUCCACCUAUCAGACUGCAGCAUGGUGUAUUUCACCAGAAUUCUGGUAUCCGCCUUCUGACUACAACACAGUGUUAUAGCACACAGCAUCCCCACCAAGGAACUUGAUGAUUAUACAGCUUUCCAGUUUUGUCAGGAAAGUUACAUCAAGGACUUGUAGCUCAGAUGGGGAGAACACAAAUACAUUUCAUUUCAUGCAUCCUGUUGUGUUAUUAUAGAUAAUUCUUUUUUGGAGUUCGUCGUAACACAACAACAUAACAGUGAAGGUUAAAAUUACCUAGCUACAUGUUUCGUCUCUUUAAAGCCAUCGUCAGGCAAAGCACAUGAUUACUAAUAAUGUGUGAAUGUAAUAAUUAUGUUUUUUGCCUGAUGAUGGCUUUAAAAAGCCAAAACAUGUAGCUAGGUAAUUUUAACCUUGACUGUUAUGUUGUUGUGUUGCGACGGACUCCAAUAAAGACUUGAACACAAAUAUGUACAAUAUUUUUCUUGGAAGAUGCUGGAAAGCAUCCACUUGGGAAAGCAAAAGUGGUGGAAGAAAGAAAUUAAACCAGAUCUUGUCAAAAUUGGUUAUUAGACUCUGGAUCAUGAUGUGUCCACUGGUGGGCUUUGGUGUUAGCAGCAUUCAUCAUCGAAGGGUAUGCUGAAAAGUAAUGCCUCAAUAAGACUGGCAAAAAUGUGGUUCUGUCAUGCCACACUUACAGAAGUACAGGUACUGCUUGGUAUAUGCAAGUUGGAAUUAUGUUGUUUCAUUUUAAUGCAUUCAAUUAAUUUAGACCUAUAACACUUUCUUUAGUAUGAACUAAUUGCUGGCCAAUCAAGAGAGGUGGAAGAACGGGGGAUUAGGAUGCUGUGUAGGCGUUGAGGAGGAAUGCAAAGGGAGAAGAUAAAGUGUGGCUUACCUGAUGUCAUUUAUGUCAUUGCACCCCCUGCGAGUCCUUUUGGGAAUAUAACUAGUGCGUUAAUUGAUGAAUACCUGUACAGCUGUGUCUAGAUUGCAGAAGUGGUUGUUUGAGAAGUAAUUGUAUAGAAUAGGGAACAAAGUUCAAGGAAGGUAGCCAUUUAUGUUUCAAUGAAAUUGCUGUUAUGGAAAAGAAAUCGGGAGCCAUUACUUUCAGCAUGCCCCUGUACAAGCUCUGUCAACAGGAGAAGACACACUUCCGAAUAAAAUAUCCCACAUUGUGAAAUUGUAAAUUUCAUAAUGUUAAUUGAAAUCCAUAUUUAGAUGUUUGUUGCUUAACGUCUAGUGGUGUUCUGUGUACAGAGCACACUUGCCAUUUUAUCACAUCACUACGUGGAACACAGAAUACCUAUGGCAGCCAUAACUUCUGUCUCUAACAGUGAUAUUAUAUCAAAACUGCCAGUUUUUUAUACAUGUUCAGAAAAAAUGCUAUCAGCUGUCUAUUCAUGUAUGGGUAGUCACAUUUUCAAUUUCCUGUGGCGUGUAACAAAUACUGUAUACAUCUGAAAUAAAA